rnacentral:rRNA from 1 species
CAGUAGCCACGGGAAUACGUAGGUGGCAAGCGUUGUCCGGAAUUAUUGGGCGUAAAGGGCUCGCAGGCGGUUUCUUAAGUCUGAUGUGAAAGCCCCCGGCUCAACCGGGGAGGGUCAUUGGAAACUGGGAAACUUGAGUGCAGAAGAGGAGAGUGGAAUUCCAUGCGUAGCGGUGAAAUGCGUAGAGAUGUGGAGGAACACCAGUGGCGAAGGCGACUCUCUGGUCUGUAACUGACGCUGAGGAGCGAAAGCGUGGGGAGCGAACAGGAUUAGAUACCCCUGUAGUCCCUGUCUCUUAUAC